rnacentral:misc_RNA from 1 species
GAUGGAUUUUUUGUACCUGAUGGGUAUCUCUCAGAAAAUGAGGGAGUACAAGUUGACAGAAUGGAAACUGAUCUAUUAGUUGAGGAGGGCAGAGGAUCAGAAAGUUGCAAUCAAGACUCAGAAAGUGAGGAAUUUUACAUGUUGCUUCAACAACAAAAGNNNNNCAACAAAAGUAUCUGAACAACUUAACAGAGACUGCACUUCGGAAAAAUCAGCCCUUGAUUAUAUUAAAUCUAAUGCAUGAGAAAGUCCCAUUAUUACUGGCAGAAGAUCUAACUGGUACUCAUAAAUCGGAAAAGAUGUGUUUGGAAGCUCUUAGCAUGCGUACUUUC